rnacentral:rRNA from 1 species
GAUGAACGCUGGCGGCGUGCCUAAUACAUGCAAGUCGAGCGAACGGACGAGAAGCUUGCUUCUCUGAUGUUAGCGGCGGACGGGUGAGUAACACGUGGAUAACCUACCUAUAAGACUGGGAUAACUUCGGGAAACCGGAGCUAAUACCGGAUAAUAUUUUGAACCGCAUGGUUCAAAAGUGAAAGACGGUCUUGCUGUCACUUAUAGAUGGAUCCGCGCUGCAUUAGCUAGUUGGUAAGGUAACGGCUUACCAAGGCAACGAUGCAUAGCCGACCUGAGAGGGUGAUCGGCCACACUGGAACUGAGACACGGUCCAGACUCCUACGGGAGGCAGCAGUAGGGAAUCUUCCGCAAUGGGCGAAAGCCUGACGGAGCAACGCCGCGUGAGUGAUGAAGGUCUUCGGAUCGUAAAACUCUGUUAUUAGGGAAGAACAUAUGUGUAAGUAACUGUGCACAUCUUGACGGUACCUAAUCAGAAAGCCACGGCUAACUACGUGCCAGCAGCCGCGGUAAUACGUAGGUGGCAAGCGUUAUCCGGAAUUAUUGGGCGUAAAGCGCGCGUAGGCGGUUUUUUAAGUCUGAUGUGAAAGCCCACGGCUCAACCGUGGAGGGUCAUUGGAAACUGGAAAACUUGAGUGCAGAAGAGGAAAGUGGAAUUCCAUGUGUAGCGGUGAAAUGCGCAGAGAUAUGGAGGAACACCAGUGGCGAAGGCGACUUUCUGGUCUGUAACUGACGCUGAUGUGCGAAAGCGUGGGGAUCAAACAGGAUUAGAUACCCUGGUAGUCCACGCCGUAAACGAUGAGUGCUAAGUGUUAGGGGGUUUCCGCCCCUUAGUGCUGCAGCUAACGCAUUAAGCACUCCGCCUGGGGAGUACGACCGCAAGGUUGAAACUCAAAGGAAUUGACGGGGACCCGCACAAGCGGUGGAGCAUGUGGUUUAAUUCGAAGCAACGCGAAGAACCUUACCAAAUCUUGACAUCCUUUGACAACUCUAGAGAUAGAGCUUUCCCCUUCGGGGGACAAAGUGACAGGUGGUGCAUGGUUGUCGUCAGCUCGUGUCGUGAGAUGUUGGGUUAAGUCCUGCAACGAGCGCAACCCUUAAGCUUAGUUGCCAUCAUUAAGUUGGGCACUCUAAGUUGACUGCCGGUGACAAACCGGAGGAAGGUGGGGAUGACGUCAAAUCAUCAUGCCCCUUAUGAUUUGGGCUACACACGUGCUACAAUGGACAAUACAAAGGGCAGCGAAACCGUGAGGUCAAGCAAAUCCCAUAAAGUUGUUCUCAGUUCGGAUUGUAGUCUGCAACUCGACUACAUGAAGCUGGAAUCGCUAGUAAUCGUAGAUCAGCAUGCUACGGUGAAUACGUUCCCGGGUCU